AAGACAAUGUAAAUAUUGUAUAAAGAGUAUCUUCAGGAGACGUAAUAAUGUAAAAAUCAUGCUCAAUAGGAUUAAGCUGAGGCUC
ensembl:snoRNA SNORD115 Small nucleolar RNA SNORD115